GCCAGACCCUGCGAUGACGGUGGCAGCCUCCAAGAGUGGCCAAAGUGUGCGGCCCAAGCAACCGGGCAUUCUUAGGAGAAUGGGAAUUGACUCGGAAUACUCAUACCUCCGUCACCAACUGGCCAACGGACCGGUGCCGGGAGCGUGGCUUCUCAUUUUCCAGCCUUCCUUGCUGUGGUGGUUUUGAGGAACUUACUGGAUGGUUUUCUUUUGUUCAUAGUUGGUGUAGGAGAAGGGCCAUGGUGUGCUUUUUGCUUCUUAUGGUUCUUGCUUCAGGUGCUCAUGACAAGGGGUUUUUUUUGGGUUGAGUCUUGUGGUUGGAUUUCUUUUUGAUGGGUUCUUAUGUUUUUGAAGGAUGUGUUUUUAAAGGUUUAUAAUGUUUUUAAUGGGUGAUAGCAUGAAGUAGAGGGUAGGUUUUUAAUUCGGUUGUGGAGGCUUUUAUUGGCGUGAGUAUGUAGUGGUUUAUUUUGGUUGGUUUGAGGUAGUGUCCUGUAGUUCAUUAUUGAGGUUUUUUUAAUAUUGAUAAUUGCAUUCUUGUUUAUUAUGUUGUAGGGGUUUUAUUUGUUUGUCUUGUUUGAUUGCUUUGUGUGUUUUAUUGUCUCAGACAAUUUGGGAGUUGUUAUUUAUGGUUACUUUUCUCUUUUGGUGACAUGUUUAUUUCGAAGAGGUAUUUGUGCUUUGAUGUUUUGAGGCAUUCUGAGUUCCUUGAGUUAGGAAUUAUUAUUUUGUUGUUGUGAAUAUAUUUUUUUUUUUUUGUAGUUGGAUGUAUUUGUUGUUUUUUAUUAGUUUGAUUUUUGGGAACAUGGGUAUUUCUAUGGUGGAUCUUUAUAGGUAGUUAUUUUAUUUGGGUGGUGAGUUUUUUGUUUCUUCAUGGUUUUGAUUUUUUUAUAUCUGUAAUUAUUUGGCGGGAGUUUAGUUAAUUUUAUAGAGUAUUGAGUUCUCUUGAUGAGUUAGUGUAGUGGUAGGGUAUUGUUUGGUUUUUUUUUAGAAGCAUUUGGGAUCUGUUUGGUUUGGAGUAUAAGAGGUUAGUUGAAGAGUUUUUUUCUUUUUAGUGUUUUUUUUGUUUUGUGUGGGUUUUUAUAGGUGUUUUUUUUCAUUAAUGUUCCAUUUUUGUUAUGUGAUAAGAACUGUUAGUGAAAGGAGUGUAGUGGGGGUUUUUUUGCUGGUAGUUGGUUGGCUGGUGGAGCCUUUCUGAAUUUUUUGGAUGGUAUUCUUGGUUAUUCGAUGCUGUUUGUUUUGGUAUUUUAUUUUUAGGAAUUGGAUUAUAACUGCAAAGUUCUAACUGUAACUCUAAUGAAACAAAACAAAUGCAUAAAUAUGAAAAUGGGAAUAUCAAACUUCAAUUUUAAAUAUAAACGGAAAACAUAUAAAUAAAACAUGUAACAUAAAUAAUGUUAUCCUUUACUAUUAGAUAGUAUAUUGUUUGAUAUAUAGUAUUUUGUUUAUAUAAAUACAUAUAAGUAUAGAUUAUAAAUAUAAAUAAAAUCCAUAUAAAAUAUCCAUAUUGAGAUGUAUAAUUAAUACAUGUGGAUAUAUAAAUAUAAAAUUACUAAAUAAUAGAAAUCAAUACAGUACAUAAUGCAUAUUUUACUGUGUAUGUCCUAUUUUAACACAUUCUAUGUCCUAAAUAUUAUAUAUCAAAAUACGGUACCUCAAUAUAUUGUAAUCGAAUAUAUAACAACUUGUAAAAAUCAAAAAUAGAAAGAUAGAAAUAUUUAAAUAGAGUUUAAAAUAAAGAGGAUUUUUAUUUUGUAUUUGGUAGUAGGUAGGGGGUUUUUAAUAAAAUCUAUAAAUAUAAAUAAAAUUAGAAAUCUAUGUAUAGAAAUACAUCCUAAAUACCUUAAGAUCUAUAUAUAAAAUUCAAAGGUAAGUAAAAAAAAAAAUAGCAGUAUCUACGAAGUAUAAUAUAAAUAAUAAUUUGUCUAUCUUGCUACCUUAAUAUAUAUGUGAUAUAUAUUUAUAAAUACAUCACUAUAAAGUAGAAAUGCAAAUGUGACUAUAAUGAUGAAAAAAACAUAUAAAUAUUCAAGUAUCGUUUAAAGAAAGGGCUUUUUUUGGUUUUUAUUUGGUUAGAGGCAGGGUUUUAAUGGAAGAAAAAUGAACAUACCUUUUCUUUUGAUAUCAUUCUAAGUAUAGAAAUAUAUAUUCAAUGUAUACAGAGAUAUAUAAAAAUAUAAAAUAGAAAUGACAAUAAGUAUUCAGAAUAGAUAGAAUAUAAAUAACACCAUACAUCAAUCUAAAUUUUAAAUGUAAAUUUGAAUAUAAAUGCAAAAAAUAGAGAUAAAUUUAAACGCAGUUUGAAAGAUAAGGGGUUUUUAGAAGAUUUUUACUUGGAUAGAGGCAGGGGUUUAUUUU